rnacentral:lncRNA from 12 species
UCAUAAGCUUGCGUUGAUUAAGUCCCUGCCCUUUGUACACACCGCCCGUCGCUACUACCGAUUGGAUGGUUUAGUGAGGCCCUCGGAUCGGCCCCGCCGGGGUCGGCCCACGGCCCUGGCGGAGUGCUGAGAAGACGGUCGAACUUGACUAUCUAGAGGAAGUAAAAGUCGUAACAAGGUUUCCGUAGGUGAACCUGCGGAAGGAUCAUUAACGGAGAACGCGGCGGCGGCGGCGGCGGCGGAGGCGCCCCGUCCUUCCCGUCCGUCCGCUCGCCCGCGAAGCCUUCCCCCGUGCGGUGCGGGCGGGCCGGCGCGGUGCCGGCCCGCUGGCCGCGAGGGACGUGAGAGAGCGGGAGCGCGUGUGUGCGUGUCCGUCCGUGGGGCGAGGACGGGGCCGCGUGAGGAGGAGGCAGGGGGAAGGAAGGGGCCGCGCCCGCCGCCGGGAGGCGCGGUGGAAGCGCGGCGGUGGCGGUGGGCGGGCCUGGCGUCGGUCGGUCGGGCGCCCGCCGGGAGGGGAAGGGAGGGGGUGUCGUCGGCGACGACGGCGUGUCGUGGGGGGGGAGACGGGCCCCGCGCCCGCCUCCCUUUCUCGGACGUCGCCGUCCCGGCCCCCCCCCCACCGUGUCCCUUCCGGGGGGGGUCCGCCUCCUCCGUCUUGCCCGCUCGCCUGGGGCUGCCGCCGGGUCGUCCACUCGCCGCCCCCUCGGCGGCGGCGGCGGCGGCGGCUCGUCCCCCUGCCCCUCCGGGGCCCCCCUCCCUUCCGCGGCCCGCCUUUCGCCUUCCGGCGCCGGUCGUUCCCCGGUCGCCGCGUCGCCCCGCACGGGGGUGCCCUCGGCGCGUCUCGGGACGCGUGCGACGCGGCGGCGGUGCCCUCCGCGGUGUCGUCGUCGUCCUCCUCCUGCGGGGGGGGGAGCGUCGGCUCGCGCGGGGGCGCCCGCCGCCCGGCGCGCGCCUCCCGCCGCCCGCCCUGGACGGUCCUCCGGUCAGGCGGGCGUCCGCGCCAUCUCCGCCCUCCCGCUCGUCGCCUCUCCCUCUCCCACCCCGGCCCACCCCCCGCCUCUGGGGCCUCGGGGCCCGGGUCGCGGUUGUGGGGAGGGCCGGGGGUCGGCCGGCCGGGUGUUUUCUCCUAAGGCGAGGCGAGGUGGUGGCUCCCGGGGGUGUUCCUCGGAAGCGAGGAGAUCGGAACAUCGGGUCUUUCGUGACCUCUCCACAGAUAGAUAGGAGUGAGACCAAGGCUAUAUACUUUGUUGGCGUCUCGUCUGUGUCUACGUGUCCCUGUGGGUUCUACGAGGGAGAGGUUUCCUCUACCUCCGGAUGCUAUAUUGCUAACAUCCCUUUGUAAAGGAACUGUAGCUUAUGGGAUCCCUGGGUGGCGCAGCGGUUUGGCGCCUGCCUUUGGCCCAGGGCGCGAUCCUGGAGACCCGGGAUCGAAUCCCACGUCGGGCUCCCGGUGCAUGGAGCCUGCUUCUCCUUCUGCCUAUGUCUCUGCCUCUCUCUCUCUCUCUCUCUGUGUGACUAUCAUAAAUAAAUAAAAAUUAAAAAAAAAAAAAAAAAAGGAA